rnacentral:rRNA from 1 species
AGGGUGCCCGGGACCCGGUCUUCUCCCUCACGGGAACACUUUUUUCUAAGGUGACCUCGGAUCAGUAGAACCGUAUCC